rnacentral:misc_RNA from 1 species
GUAUCUCACCGCAAUCAGCAUCAGCAGUCGCCACCAGCCAGCCACAGCUGGCUUUCUGUCUCCGUCAGUGUCGUUGUCUGCGUGCGCGUGAGCUUACCACCGGGCCUCCUCAUACCCCUCUUCCCCUUUCAUCUCUGCUUGGCUUCGCUGCCUUUCUCUAUUAGACACCAGCCCUCUGUCGCGCUGGUGUAUCUCUGUGUCAGUGGCUGCUGUGGUGGUGUGCCCAACCGCUGCACUGCUGCUCCGCGUUUGUGUGUAGGCUUUCCGCGAGACAAGCGUGUCUCCUGCCUUCUAUUCGUGCCUGUCUGUCGUCACAGGGGAGGAGGGGGAGUCGACAGCUGGUCGAGGUUCUCUCUCACACGCCCACACGUUGCCUUAGUCUGUUCGUGCCGCUUCGUGGGUCAAUGCUUCCACGCAGCAGCCCAGCCACAGCCGCGCCACAGCCUGCCAGCGGUGGCGGUGCGCCCGCCUUCUCAGUUCCAGUGUCGUCGUCGAGGUCGCCGCAACGAGGUGCGUCGCCGCCGCAACGAGGUGCGUCGCCGCCGCUGAGCGCGUCCUCUGAGGUACCGCCGUCCGCAGAGUCCUCCCCCGCGAACGGAUCGUCAUCAAGGACGUCGUCGUCCUACUCCGACAGCGACGACGAGCGCCACCGCGCGCAGGGCUCUGGUGGUGGCGUCCGUGGCGCAUAUAACGCUGCGGCCGCCUCGGCAGACGCCCCGAAGAGCCGCAGCACCCGCGCAAAGCGGUGGCUGAAGAAGAAGCUCAUCCCGGAUUUCGUGCACGAGUACGGGCGCACCGUCUACGGCGGCAACCCGCUUUCGCAGCAGACGUUGCCCGGCGUCUUCAACUACCCCUCGCCCUUCAUCCUCGUGCCCAUCUUCUAUGUGUUGAUGGUGCCCUUCCUGGUUUUGGGGGCGUUGGUGCUGGUGAAGGGUCGUGAAUACCACAUUGUUGAGCAAGAAUACAGCCACAUUCACCAGUACCAGUACGUGCCGUCGAACUCGAGCGUGAACAUCAACCAUGGCAUCCUGCAGUUCACGGCGGACGGCGUGACGCACGCGCAGGGCACGCGGACGUGGCUGGAGAUCAACAUCAGCCACCGCAUGAAGGCACCGGUGUACAUGUACUACAAGAUCGCCAACAUGCACCAAAACCACCGCGACUUCCACAACGGCCGCUCCAACUCGCAGCUGAGGGGCAAGUCGAAGAUCGACAAAGCCUACUUGUGCAAGCCGUACACGUACCCUGGCUUCCGCAGUGACGAAGGCGACACCCCCAUCACCAUCACCGACGUGACCGGGACGCAAGUGACGCGGCCGGCCAGAUACUUCACCUACAACCCCUGCGGCAUCGCGCCGUGGUCCAAGUUUAACGACACGUUCAUUCUCUACCGCAAGCUGACGCCGGCGGAGGUGGUGCAAGCAAACAUCAGUGGCGUACCGGUGCUUCACGGCGGCGUGGACAGCACGACGCCGGUGACGCUGAUCUGCAACGGCACUGAUUUUGGGCUGCGAGGCGAGCCCCUCAGCGGCAGCGUGACGAAGAACCACUGUUCCAAGAUGGGCAUCAGCUGGAAGGCGGACAGGGAGAUUCGAUUCCGCAACAUAACGCUGCGCGAGGACUGGUGGUCGCUGUACUACCCGUACCCGACGACUAACGAGUAUCUGCGCAACGGCUGGUACCUGCAUGAGCCGGGGCACGCGCUACCGGAUCCGUCCGACUAUGACCUGCAUGUGUGGAUGCGAGCAUCCUUCACAUCCAACUUCCGAAAGCUGUACCGCAUUAUCCACGUGCCCCUCCACCCCGGCACGUACCUGGUGGACAUCAGCGAGUUCUACGACGUGGUGAGCUUCCGUGGCCGCAAGAGCGUGGUGCUGCAGCACGCCAACUGGGUUGGCGGCCGCAACAUCGUGCUCGGUGUCGUGUUCAUCAUCAUGGGGUGUGCGUCUUUUGUCCUCGGCGUCACCUUCACGGUGGAGUGCAUGCUGCAGCUCAACGGCGUGAACCGAUACAAGCGCCUGCGCGAGCCUAAGCGCAGCUGGUACGUGUUCCAGCCGAACGAUCCGGAGUUUGCGAAUUACUAUCAGCUGCGUCUGCGCCGCCACAUCCCGAUGGCGCAGCUGCAGUCGUUGCGCAAGGCUGUAGCCGAGCUGGAGAACUUGGUGCGCGACGGCGAGGUCAACAGGAACGGCGCCAAUGGCCAGCGCGCGUGAAGGGGCGGAGAGGAGCGGCACGCAUGGUGGGGCACGAGACGAAACGCUGUAAUGUGUCGUUCUCGCGCUCUCAGUGUUAACUCUCUUGCCUUCUUCGCAGCUCUACCUGCUGGCGAUCUCGAUGCGGAUAUUCGAUGUACCGUUGCUUGUCGAUGCGUUUCCUUUUGGGGGUGGGCGGUGGACGGGGAGAGGGCAGUGGUGCCGUCCCGGUGCGGCGAUGAUGAUUCGCGUCUGAGAGGCCCCUUUCUCGUAAGGCUUUGUCAUGGCAGUGAUCAGUCGCGUCCAUUUGUGCGGGGUACGACUGUGUGCGGUGAGAGGCAGGGCGAUAUCGUGGCCAGCGUCGUCAUCCUCUCUCCCUCUCUUCAUGCUCUUUCUGUUUGAUGCAGUUUGGUGCGACAGUGGCAGCGGCGUGCACAAGUGUCGGUGUUUAUUCGGCGGCAGAGGAGCGCUUUCGCAACCGGGAGGUAUCCAUCAUCGGCCAUCUCUCGUUUGUGCGUGCUGUGUGUCAGCGGCGGCAGCGGCAGCGGCGAUUUCCUCCGGCUCUUUUUUCCCUUUUGUGUUUUCUCCGUUUUCCGUUGCUGUUGCUCCCGUCUCUUGAGACGACCGCUCAUGGUGUUUCCUUGCUUGAUGUCGUUGGGAGAGGGUUGCGUGCGUGGACGGGGAGGCCACAUGAUCACGUUAUUCGUAUACACACACCGGACGCAUCGGGGGGUGAAC